CGCUAGCAAUAAUAACUCGA
rnacentral:miRNA from 1 species